rnacentral:rRNA from 1 species
AGAGUUUGAUCCUGGCUCAGAGCGAACGCUGGCGGCAGGCUAACACAUGCAAGUCGAGCGCCGUAGCAAUACGGAGCGGCAGACGGGAGAGUAACACGUGGGAACGUGCCCUUUGGUUCGGAACAGCACAGGGAAACUUGUGCUAAUACCGGGAUAAGCCCUUACGGGGAAAAGAUUUAUCGCCAAAAGGAUCGGCCCGCGUCUGAUUAGCUUGUUGGUGAGGUAACGGCUCACCAAGGCGACGAUCAGUAGCUGGUCUGAGAGGAUGAUCAGCCUCACUGGGACUGAGACACGGCCCAGACUCCUACGGGAGGCAGCAGUGGGGAAUAUUGGACAAUGGGCGCAAGCCUGAUCCAGCCAUGCCGCGUGGGUGAUGAAGGCCCUAGGGUUGUAAAGCCCUUUCGGCGGGGAAGAUAAUGACGGUACCCGCAGAAGAAGCCCCGGCUAACUUCGUGCCAGCAGCCGCGGUAAUACGAAGGGGGCUAGCGUUGCUCGGAAUCACUGGGCGUAAAGCGCACGUAGGCGGCUUUUUAAGUCAGGGGUGAAAUCCUGGAGCUCAACUCCAGAACUGCCUUUGAUACUGAGAAGCUUGAGUCCGGGAGAGGUGAGUGGAACUGCGAGUGUAGAGGUGAAAUUCGUAGAUAUUCGCAAGAACACCAGUGGCGAAGGCGGCUCACUGGCCCGGUACUGACGCUGAGGUGCGAAGGCGUGGGGAGCAAACAGGAUUAGAUACCCUGGUAGUCCACGCCGUAAACGAUGGAUGCUAGCCGUUGUCGGGUUUACUCGUCAGUGGCGCGAGCUAACGCAUUAAGCAUCC